GAUGAACGCUGGCGGCGUGCCUAAUACAUGCCAGUCGAGCGAACAGACGAGGAGCUUGCUCCUCUGACGUUAGCGGCGGACGGGUGAGUAACACGUGGAUAACCUACCUAUAAGACUGGGAUAACUUCGGGAAACCGGAGCUAAUACCGGAUAAUAUAUUGAACCGCAUGGUUCAAUAGUGAAAGACGGUUUUGCUGUCACUUAUAGAUGGAUCCGCGCCGCAUUAGCUAGUUGGUAAGGUAACGGCUUACCAAGGCGACGAUGCGUAGCCGACCUGAGAGGGUGAUCGGCCACACUGGAACUGAGACACGGUCCAGACUCCUACGGGAGGCAGCAGUAGGGAAUCUUCCGCAAUGGGCGAAAGCCUGACGGAGCAACGCCGCGUGAGUGAUGAAGGUCUUCGGAUCGUAAAACUCUGUUAUUAGGGAAGAACAAAUGUGUAAGUAACUAUACACGUCUUGACGGUACCUAAUCAGAAAGCCACGGCUAACUACGUG
rnacentral:rRNA from 1 species